ACUCUGAUGCAGCGAUGCCGCGUGAGUGAAGAAGGCCCUUGGGUUGUAAAGCUCUUUCGUCGGGGAAGAAAAUGACUGUACCCGAAUAAGAAGGUCCGGCUAACUUCGUGCCAGCAGCCGCGGUAAUACGAAGGGACCUAGCGUAGUUCGGAAUUACUGGGCUUAAAGAGUUCGUAGGUGGUUGAAAAAGUUGGUGGUGAAAUCCCAGAGCUUAACUCUGGAACUGCCAUCAAAACUUUUCAGCUAGAGUUUGAUAGAGGAAAGCAGAAUUUCUAGUGUAGAGGUGAAAUUCGUAGAUAUUAGAAAGAAUACCAAUUGCGAAGGCAGCUUUCUGGAUCAUUACUGACACUGAGGAACGAAAGCAUGGGUAGCGAAGAGGAUUAGAUACCCUCGUAGUCCAUGCCGUAAACGAUGUGUGUUAGACGUUGGAAAUUUAUUUUCAGUGUCGCAGCGAAAGCGAUAAACACACCGCCUGGGGAGUACGACCGCAAGGUUAAAACUCAAAUGAAUUGACGGGGACCCGCACAAGUAGUGGAGCAUGUGGUUUAAUUCGAAGAUACGCGCAGAACCUUACCAACACUUGACAUGUUCGUCGCGACUUUAAGAGAUUAAAGUUUUCGGUUCGGCCGGACGAAACACAGGUGCUGCAUGGCUGUCGUCAGCUCGUGUCGUGAGAUGUUGGGUUAAGUCCCGCAACGAGCGCAACCCUCACUUUUAGUUGCCAUCAUUAAGUUGGGCACUCUGAAAGAACUGCCAGUGAUAAGCUGGAGGAAGGUGGGGAUGACGUCAAGUCCUCAUGGCCCUU
rnacentral:rRNA from 1 species